rnacentral:rRNA from 1 species
AUUGAACGCUGGUGGAAUGCUUUACACAUGCAAGUCGAACGGCAGCACGGGGGCAGCCCUGGUGGCGAGUGGCGAACGGGUGAGUAAUACAUCGGAACGUGCCCGGUCGUGGGGGAUAACGUAGCGAAAGUUACGCUAAUACCGCAUACGAUCUGAGGAUGAAAGCGGGGGAGCUUCGGGCCUCGCGCGAUCGGAGCGGCCGAUGUCAGGUUAGGUAGUUGGUGGGGUAAAGGCCUACCAAGCCGACGAUCUGUAGCUGGUCUGAGAGGACGACCAGCCACCCUGGGACUGAGACACGGCCCAGACUCCUACGGGAGGCAGCAGUGGGGAAUUUUGGACAAUGGGCGCAAGCCUGAUCCAGCCAUUCCGCGUGCAGGACGAAGGCCUUCGGGUUGUAAACUGCUUUUGUACGGAACGAAAAGGCUCUGGCUAAUACCUGGGGCUCAUGACGGUACCGUAAGAAUAAGCACCGGCUAACUACGUG